CUAGCGGCAGGCCUAACACAUGCAAGUCGAACGGUAAGGUCCCUUCGGGGAUACACGAGUGGCGCACGGGUGAGUAACGCGUAUGCAACCUACCUUUUACAGGGAGAUAGCCCGAAGAAAUUCGGAUUAAUACCCCAUAGUACACGAUCACCGCAUGGUGAUUUUGUUAAAGCUCCGGCGGUAAAAGAUGGGCAUGCGUGACAUUAGAUAGUUGGUGAGGUAACGGCUCACCAAGUCAGCGAUGCCUAGGGGGUCUGAGAGGAUGGUCCCCCACACUGGUACUGAGACACGGACCAGACUCCUACGGGAGGCAGCAGUGAGGAAUAUUGGGCAAUGGACGCAAGUCUGACCCAGCCAUGCCGCGUGCAGGAUGACGGCCCUAUGGGUUGUAAACUGCUUUUGUACAGGAAGAAUAGGCACUACGUGUAGUGAUUUGACGGUACCGUACGAAUAAGCACCGGCUAACUCCGUGCCAGCAGCCGCGGUAAUACGGAGGGUGCAGGCGUUAUCCGGAUUUAUUGGGUUUAAAGGGUGCGUAGGCGGGCUAAUAAGUCAGUGGUGAAAUCUCAUGGCUCAACCAUGAAAUUGCCAUUGAAACUGUUAGUCUUGAGUAUAGUUGAGGUAGGCGGAAUGUGUCAUGUAGCGGUGAAAUGCUUAGAUAUGACCCAGAACUCCGAUUGCGUAGGCAGCUUACUAAACUAUUACUGACGCUGAUGCACGAAAGCGUGGGUAGCGAACAGGAUUAGAUACCCUGGUAGUCCACGCCGUAAACGAUGAUUACUCGCUGUGUGCGAUAUAUUGUACGCGGCUGAGCGAAAGCAUUAAGUAAUCCACCUGGGGAGUACGGUCGCAAGAUUGAAACUCAAAGGAAUUGACGGGGGCCCGCACAAGCGGAGGAACAUGUGGUUUAAUUCGAUGAUACGCGAGGAACCUUACCUGGGCUUAAAUGUAGAGUGCUUUUCACCGAAAGGUGAUUUUCCUUCGGGACGCUUUACAAGGUGCUGCAUGGUUGUCGUCAGCUCGUGCCGUGAGGUGUCGGGUUAAGUCCCAUAACGAGCGCAACCCCUACCGUUAGUUGCCAUCGGGUCAUGCCGGGGACUCUAACGAGACUGCCAGUGUAAACUGUGAGGAAGGUGGGGAUGACGUCAAAUCAGCACGGCCCUUAUGCCCAGGGCUACACACGUGUUACAAUGGCCGGUACAGAGGGCAGCUACUAAGUGAAUAGAUGCAAAUCCCCAAAGCCGGUCUCAGUUCGGAUCGGAGUCUGCAACUCGACUCCGUGAAGUUGGAUUCGCUAGUAAUCGUAUAUCAGCAAUGAUACGGUGAAUACGUUCCCGGGCCUUGUACACACCGCCCGUCAAGCCAUGGAAGCUGGGGGUACCUGAAGUCUGUAACCGCAAGGAGCGGCCUAG
rnacentral:rRNA from 1 species